rnacentral:rRNA from 1 species
UACCAGCACCCCGAGUGGUCGGGACGAUUAUUGGGCCUAAAGCAUCCGUAGCCGGUCCUACAAGUCUUCCGUUAAAUCCACCUGCUUAACAGAUGGGCUGCGGAAGAUACUAUAGGGCUAGGAGGCGGGAGAGGCAAGCGGUACUCAGUGGGUAGGGGUAAAAUCCUCUGAUCCACUGAAGACCACCAGUGGCAAAGGCGGCUUGCCAGAACGCGCUCGA